rnacentral:piRNA from 1 species
UGCCCUUGGGAUCUUAGUAGAUGGAGUGGA